rnacentral:rRNA from 1 species
AGACCGCCAGCUAAGGUCCCAAAGUCAUGGUUAAGUGGGAAACGAAGUGGGAAGGCUCAGACAGCCAGGAUGUUGGCUUAGAAGCAGCCAUCAUUUAAAGAAAGCGUAAUAGCUCACUGGUCGAGUCGGCGCGCGGAAGAUGUAACGGGGCUAAACCAUGCACCGAAGCUGCGGCAGCGACACUUAUGUGUUGUUGGGUAGGGGAGCGUUCUGUAAGCCUGCGAAGGUGUACUGUGAGGUAUGCUGGAGGUAUCAGAAGUGCGAAUGCUGACAUAAGUAACGAUAAU